AGCGAACGCUGGCGGCAGGCCUAACACAUGCAAGUCGAACGAACCCUUCGGGGUUAGUGGCGGACGGGUGAGUAACACGUGGGAACGUGCCUUUAGGUUCGGAAUAACUCAGGGAAACUUGUGCUAAUACCGAAUGUGCCCUUCGGGGGAAAGAUUUAUCGCCUUUAGAGCGGCCCGCGUCUGAUUAGCUAGUUGGUGAGGUAAUGGCUCACCAAGGCUACGAUCAGUAGCUGGUCUGAGAGGAUGACCAGCCACAUUGGGACUGAGACACGGCCCAAACUCCUACGGGAGGCAGCAGUGGGGAAUCUUGCGCAAUGGGCGAAAGCCUGACGCAGCCAUGCCGCGUGGAUGAUGAAGGUCUUAGGAUUGUAAAAUCCUUUCACCGGUGAAGAUAAUGACUGUAGCCGGAGAAGAAGCCCCGGCUAACUUCGUGCCAGCCGCCGCGGUAACAC
rnacentral:rRNA from 1 species